UCUCUUACCUGACAGGAGACUUACCAUGAUCAAUCAGGUGGUUCCCUCACUGUGAGGCUUUCCCAUUGCAUUCUGUGUGGGUUGACCCUUGCGAUUUCCCCAAAUCUGGGAAACUCGACCGUAUAAUUUGUGGGAGUGAUAUCUCACCUUUUAAUUUGGAUAUAU
rnacentral:snRNA from 1 species